rnacentral:rRNA from 1 species
UACGUAGGGUGCGAGCGUUUGUCCGGAAUUACUGGGCGUAAAGAGCUCGUAGGUGGUUUGUCGCGUUGUCCGUGAAAACUCACAACUCAAUUGUGGGCGUGCGGGCGAUACGGGCAGACUGGAGUACUGCAGGGGAGAAUGGAAUUCCCGGUGUAGCGGUGAAAUGCGCAGAUAUCGGGAAGAACACCCGUGGCGAAGGCGGUUCUCUGGGACGGU